rnacentral:rRNA from 1 species
UGGGGAAUAUUGGACAAUGGGCGAAAGCCUGAUCCAGCCAUGCCGCGUGUGUGAAGAAGGUCUUCGGAUUGUAAAGCACUUUAAGUUGGGAGGAAGGGCAGUAAGUUAAUACCUUGCUGUUUUGACGUUACCAACAGAAUAAGCACCGGCUAACUUCGUGCCAGCAGCCGCGGUAAUACGAAGGGUGCAAGCGUUAAUCGGAAUUACUGGGCGUAAAGCGCGCGUAGGUGGUUUGGUAAGAUGGAUGUGAAAUCCCCGGGCUCAACCUGGGAACUGCAUCCAUAACUGGCUGACUAGAGUACGGUAGAGGGUGGUGGAAUUUCCUGUGUAGCGGUGAAAUGCGUAGAUAUAGGAAGGAACACCAGUGGCGAAGGCGACCACCUGGACUGAUACUGACACUGAGGUGCGAAAGCGUGGGGAGCAAACA